UCUACAGGAUGAAUUUCUUAAUAAUAUGUUUUUUCUGGCAUCUCUAAUGUUAGGGCUUUUCGCUCGAUGAAUAGAACUCUUGUUAAUUAUCUGAUG
rnacentral:snoRNA from 1 species